rnacentral:lncRNA from 1 species
AGGAGAAAAAUGGGAGAAUCUGGUGAUAACAGCAGGCCCUUUGAACAGCCACCUUGAAGGAAGUCAAAGAAGUAUAUUUCGGGUCACAGAAGCUUGUCCUGGCAAGAAUCCUAUCUGUAAGCUCUACAGAACUAGCAUUUCCUCAAUUUCCAUCUGCCAAGAUGCUAACAGAGAACACAUCAAGUAGGUGGAACACACAAGGAACUGACCUUGACUUAAAGCAAGUAUGGCAAUCUAAGAUCUCUGCCAUGACAUGACUAUAGUUUAUGAACCAUUUACAAUGGUAGUAAUAUCACAUUAUUCAUUGUCUGUAUACCAUGUGCCCCAGAUAUUAAAGCCAAUUGAUGCAUACUCUCUUUC